rnacentral:rRNA from 1 species
GACAGGUGCUGCAUGGCUGUCGUCAGCUCGUGUCGUGAGAUGUUGGGUUAAGUCCCGCAACGAGCGCAACCCUCGUCCUUAGUUGUCCAUCAUUAAGUUGGGCACUUUAAGGAAACUGCCGGUGAUAAGCCGGAGGAAGGUGGGGAUGACGUCAAGUCCUCAUGGCCCUUACAGGCUGGGCUACACACGUGCUACAAUGGCAUCUACAGUGGGCAGCUAUUCCGCAAGGAUGCGCUAAUCUCCAAAAGAUGUCUCAGUUCGGAUUGUCCUCUGCAACUCGAGGGCAUGAAGGCGGAAUCGCUAGUAAUCGCGGAUCAGCAUGCCGCGGUGAAUACGUUCCCAGGCCUU